AAUAAUACCACAAGUCCAUCAAAAAAAAUAUCGCAACCAUUGUAAAGAUGGAGGAUCUAUCUGGUCAAGAUUUGUAUCAAAAGAGGCCAAGGUCAGUUGGGGUAAGAGUCACAGACAGAGUCUGGUGGCACAAACAGUGACCAGCGAGUGUCAAAGAAGAGCAGCUGGGGGAGAUAUUAGCUGGUUCAGACUAAUGAAACUGAAGUACUCAAAUGAAGACCCUAGCAGAAUGGAGUGUAUAUGGAUACAGACGUUGCCAGCAAUCAGGAGGUGAUCCAGAAGACUCGUGGGAAUCUAUUUGAAGGGUAUACCAUUCACAGAUGUGGAUUACAUUGCCGACCAAAGUGACAUUACCACUGCAUCCACUGUAAUUCCAUGCUGCUGUGUAAACCGGACUUCAUGAAGCAUCUGUCUUUUUGCAAGGGUAAGCACCCUGCCACAACCACCACCAUCCCAGCUCCAACUAGUGCUGUAUCCAAGCAUGUUAACAAAGUUGAGUGGAAGGAAAAAGUGUGGAAGAAAAAGUUGCA